rnacentral:rRNA from 1 species
UACGUAGGGUGCAAGCGUUGUUCGGAAUUACUGGGCGUAAAGGGCUCGUAGGCGGCCAACUAAGUCAGACGUGAAAUCCCUCGGCUUAACCGGGGAACUGCGUCCGAUACUGGAUGGCUUGAGUUCGGGAGAGGGAUGCGGAAUUCCAGGUGUAGCGGUGAAAUGCGUAGAUAUCUGGAGGAACACCGGUGGCGAAGGCGGCAUCCUGGACCGACACUGACGCUGAGGAGCGAAAGCCAGGGGAGCAAAGCGGG